AGAGUUUGAUCAUGGCUCAGAACGAACGCUGGCGGCGUGGCUUAGGCAUGCAAGUCGAACGGGAUUGCCCGCAAGGGCAGUCCAGUGGCGAAAGGGUGAGUAAGACUCGGGCAAUUUGUCCCCGGGACGGGAAUAGCCGCGGGAAACUGCGGGUAAUACCCGAUGGGCUCACGCGAACUGCGGUUUGCGCGAGGAAACGGUGGGGAUCCGCAAGGACCUUCCGCCCAGGGAGGAGCUCGAGGCCUAUCAGGUAGUUGGCGGGGUAACGGCCCACCAAGCCUACGACGGGUAGCCGGACUGAGAGGUCGGCCGGCCACACUGGCACUGAGACACUGGCCAGACUCCUACGGGAGGCUGCAGUCGAGAAUCUUCCGCAAUGGGCGCAAGCCUGACGGAGCGACGCCGCGUGGAGGAAGAAGGCCUUCGGGUUGUAAACUCCUGUCACGACUUACGAAUCCGCUCGGUUCAACUGCCGAGCGUCGACGAAGGGUCGGAAGGAAGCCACAGCUAACUUCGUGCCAGCAGCUGCGGUAAGACGAAGGUGGCAAGCGUUGUUCGGAUUCACUGGGCAUAAAGGGCGCGUAGGCGGUUCCGAAGGUGGCGUGUGAAAUCCCCCGGCUCAACCGGGGAAGUGCGCGCCAAACCACGGUUCUUGAGGGCGGUAGGGGGGACUGGAACUCUCGGUGGAGCGGUGAAAUGC
rnacentral:rRNA from 1 species